UCAAACUUGGUCAUUUAGAGGAAGUAAAAGUCGUAACAAGGUCUCCGUUGGUGAACCAGCGGAGGGAUCAUUACUGAGUAUCUAAACUCUAAAACCCUUUGUGAACCUUACCGCCGUUGCCUCGGCGUGCGCUGCGGCUACCCUGUAGCCGGCCCACGGCCCGCCGGAGGAUUGCUAAACUCUUGUUUUUUACCACUGUAUCUCUGAAUUCUUGACUGAAAUACGUUAAAACUUUCAACAACGGAUCUCUUGGUUCUGGCAUCGAUGAAGAACGCAGC
rnacentral:misc_RNA from 1 species